GUGGGGAAUUUUGGACAAUGGGCGCAAGCCUGAUCCAGCAAUGCCGCGUGCAGGAAGAAGGCCUUCGGGUUGUAAUCUGCUUUUGUACGGAACGAAACGGUUCUGGUUAAUACCCGGGGCUAAUGACGGUACCGUAAGAAUAAGCACCGGCUAACUACGUGCCAGCAGCCGCGGUAAUACGUAGGGUGCAAGCGUUAAUCGGAAUUACUGGGCGUAAAGCGUGCGCAGGCGGUUGUGUAAGACAGGCGUGAAAUCCCCGGGCUCAACCUGGGAAUUGCGCUUGUGACUGCACGGCUGGAGUGCGGCAGAGGGGGAUGGAAUUCCGCGUGUAGCAGUGAAAUGCGUAGAUAUGCGGAGGAACACCGAUGGCGAAGGCAAUCCCCUGGGCCUGCACUGACGCUCAUGCACGAAAGCGUGGGGAGCAAACAGGAUUAGAAACCCCAGUAGUCC
rnacentral:rRNA from 1 species